AAUCCGUGGUGUGGACAAGCCCUUAAUAGCUCUUUGUAUCUUUCCCAUGUGUCAAAAAGGGAUUCACCAUCCUAUUGAAUGAAUCUGGUUAUUUGGUUUCACAGGAC